GAGCAAGUGCCAAAGACCCAGGACCGAAGAAUGUGGGUGUGUUUGAGAACAGCAAGGAAGCCGGUGUGUCUGGCUGAUGUGGGGCUGAUCUCUGGUCUGCAGUUUCACACAGAAAUGAAAGGAGCAGAGAAGCCGUAUGUUGAUGACAAGGCACAUUAACCUGUUAGAGGAGCUAACCUUACCAGAAUCAAGUAGAAUGGAGUCUCUACCGGCAUGAGGUCCCCAUAAUUAUUCCAUGAAGACUUACUGCUCAUUAGCCUGAGGGGGAAAAAUGAAUUAAUGGACAAUGAAAGACAGUGACAAAUCUGUUAUCUAAAGUGUGUGCCAAAAUUGCUGCCAAUUGACAUACGUGUUUUAAACCAAGGAAUAAAAUAGGCUCAGAAGUCAA